UACGUAGGGGACAAGCGUUGUCCGGAAUCAUUGGGCGUAAAGAGCGUGUAGGCGGCCAAGCAGGUCCGCUGUGAAAACUCGAGGCUUAACCUCGAGACGUCGGUGGAAACCGUUUGGCUAGAGUCCGGAAGAGGAGAGUGGAAUUCCCGGUGUAGCGGUGAAAUGCGCAGAUAUCGGGAAGAACACCCGUGGCGAAGGCGGCUCUCUGGGACGGUACUGACGCUGAGACGCGAAAGCGUGGGGAGCGAACAGG
rnacentral:rRNA from 1 species